rnacentral:lncRNA from 1 species
UUUUUGUAAUUUACCCAAAAAUAAAUGAACAAAAUUAGUUGAGUGGAAAUAUUCUCCCUCCGUGGUAAUUAAUUAAGUGGAAAAAUAAAAAAAUUAUAGCGACUUGUGUGGAGCAAAAAGGAAAGGGAUCCUCUCCGGAUCUCUUCCUCCUAAUCCACCAAGUCCAGGGAUCCAGACCGUUGAAAUUUGAUCCAAUGGCUAAAGUUAUUAUAACUUUUAAAGUGAGCCCCUGUUUGUAGCCGUUGGAUUAAAUUUCAACAGCGCAAAUCCCCGAACUUGAUGGAUUAGGAGGAAGGGAUCCUGAGAGGAUUCCUUUCCAAGCAAAAAGACGCUAGGCUAAAAGAAUGGUGUGUAUUUUAUAUAUGUGUGCAUGUGUGUGUGACCACUUUUGCGUAGAAUAUUCUUCAAAUUAACUGGAUUUCGGAUUUCCUGGUUACUUCAAGAAGGAAUUUACUGGAUUUUCCUGGUUAGUUCAAGAAGUGGAUCAAUUACCGUUGUUUUUCAGCCUUUUCUUCUUCACUGAGUAUAUUAACAUUGCCCACACUCAAAUUAAUACUUAAAGAUACUUCCACCAUUGAACUUUUAACAAACUUUAUAGUUAGAUAAAUCACUUUUUUUUCUUUGACAAAUGAUAUUAUCUACACUAAAAGGGUGGGGAAAUGGCUAAGCCUCACAAUGUGUUAGCAAUAAUGUGGUUCAAAUUCACUAUUGGCGAGAGUCGAAUAUAAGAUUUCUCACAUACAAAUGGAGGAAUAUUAUUAAACUGUAGUACUAAGUGACAGAUAAAUCACUUACAAAUAAAAAACAAAAUUAGUUGGAGACGAUUUGGUAUGCGUUAAAUAAAAGCAAACAUGAUUUCAAUUUGGAUAGUAACUAACUAAAACCCAUUAAUAUUAGCAAGAUUUCCUUAUACUCAUUAAUUUAGUUAAUGAAGUGUUUGUUAUUAUAUAUAAUCAGAUAC